UUAGGAUGCGAAGAAGAAGUGACAACUGGAAAUCCAUUAACUACAGCUGAAUUGGCAGUAGGAGACGACCCAACAAGGGUGUGUUGCAAAUGGGUCGGUCUAACACCCGCACCAGCGGUCGGAACCGAACCCGGAUCCAUAUGAUUGAGCCCAAAAGGUGGUCGAGAGCCAACAACCGGCCGAUUCGGGUAAUUACUAGUACUAGGUUUGGGUAAAAAGCCGCGGCCGGAGGAAGCAACUGGGUAGAGAAAGCCUUGAAGAUGAUGUGGUGGGUCGGGAUUAUUAGGAGGUUUUGGGACUAAUUGACAGUAAUUGGGAUUAGAGGGGGGUGGUAGGCGUUGGGGUGGUUGGGUUUGGGUAGGUGGGUAGUGAGAAUAUUGGAGGGAAAAAGGGUGAGGAUGAGGUUGAGGGGUGGGUGGUCUUAUAUGGUUUGGGAUAAUUUGUCUUAUGGUGCUAGUGGUUAUGGUGGUUGUUGUGGUGGUUGACGGAGGAUCUAGCGGUGGUGGCGGAGUAGAAAGUGCCAUAUGGGUGGGUGGUGUUGGCGGGGAAAUAUUUUGAGAAUAUUAUUAUUAGUAAUUAGGAUUGGAGGGGGGUGGUAGGCGUUGGGGUGGUUGGGUUUGGCUAGGUGGGUAGUGAGAAGAUUGGAGGGAAAAAGGGUGAGGUUGAGGUUGAGGGGUGGGUGGUCUUAUAGGGUUUGGGAUAAUUGGUCUUAUGGUGCUAGUGGUUAUGGUGGUUGUUGUGGUGGUUGACGGAGGAUCUAGCGGUGGUGGCGGAGUAGAAAGUGCCAUAUGGGUGGGUGGUGUUGGCGGGGAAAUAUUUUGAGUAUAUUAUUAUUAGGGGUUUGAAGAUUUAGUAUAAUUUGAUUUUGAAUUGGAAGUCUU
rnacentral:lncRNA from 1 species